rnacentral:rRNA from 1 species
UCCGGAUUUACUGGGCGUAAAGGGUGCGUAGGCGGUCUUUCAAGUCAGGAGUGAAAGGCUACGGCUCAACCGUAGUAAGCUCUUGAAACUGGGAGACUUGGGUGCAGGAGAGGAGAGUGGAAUUCCUGGUGUAGCGGUGAAAUGCGUAGAUAUUAGGAGGAACACCAGUUGCGAAGGCGGCUCUCUGGACUGUAACUGACGCUGAGGCACGAAAGCGUGGGGAGCAAA